CAGGAGCAGAUGGUGGGGUACCAUACGGGAGAGCCUUCCCUCACUAAUCGCCCAGGGCUCCCUUUCACCACCCAGGGGUGGGCUCAGAGAAACCCCAGUGAAGGUGUGUGGAGCAUCAUCAGGCCUAUCUCACAAGCCACGUGCCUGAUCUCUGCAGCUGAGAGCAACCCGAGAUAGGCAGAUGGAUCAGAAGGAGCAGUCAAAGGCCAAAACUCAGCAACUGACUUUAUUUCCUUCUUGGAAGAUGUGGAUUUACUCCCUUCUCACGCAGGCUAAAGGAGCAGCAGCUGCUUAUGGG
rnacentral:lncRNA from 10 species